rnacentral:rRNA from 1 species
UUACACAUGCAAGUCGAACGGUAACAGGAAGCAGCUUGCUGCUUCGCUGACGAGUGGCGGACGGGUGAGUAAUGUCUGGGAAACUGCCUGAUGGAGGGGGAUAACUACUGGAAACGGUAGCUAAUACCGCAUAACGUCGCAAGACCAAAGAGGGGGACCUUCGGGCCUCUUGCCAUCGGAUGUGCCCAGAUGGGAUUAGCUAGUAGGUGGGGUAACGGCUCACCUAGGCGACGAUCCCUAGCUGGUCUGAGAGGAUGACCAGCCACACUGGAACUGAGACACGGUCCAGACUCCUACGGGAGGCAGCAGUGGGGAAUAUUGCACAAUGGGCGCAAGCCUGAUGCAGCCAUGCCGCGUGUAUGAAGAAGGCCUUCGGGUUGUAAAGUACUUUCAGCGGGGAGGAAGGCGAUAAGGUUAAUAACCUUGUCGAUUGACGUUACCCGCAGAAGAAGCACCGGCUAACUCCGUGCCAGCAGCCGCGGUAAUACGGAGGGUGCAAGCGUUAAUCGGAAUUACUGGGCGUAAAGCGCACGCAGGCGGUCUGUCAAGUCGGAUGUGAAAUCCCCGGGCUCAACCUGGGAACUGCAUUCGAAACUGGCAGGCUAGAGUCUUGUAGAGGGGGGUAGAAUUCCAGGUGUAGCGGUGAAAUGCGUAGAGAUCUGGAGGAAUACCGGUGGCGAAGGCGGCCCCCUGGACAAAG